CAGCAGGAUAGCAGUAAACCCCGUGAGCAAACCAGCAUUCUGAAUGAGGAAGAACGUCAGAUCCGUCUUUCUUCCCGUCACUUUCUCCCGCAGCAUAUCGUUCAUCUCCGGGAACUGAAAAAAGGGAUAUUUUUAGCAGCCUCCUAGGUUCCAACUGUUGGUCCAUGUGUUGCUAGGAGCAGCUGCCCCUGUAUUGCUAAAUGUUUUGUUUCCUUCACUGCUAUAAAGAGAAAUCCUUGUUUGGGAAACAGAAGACUAGGAUUCUUCUGCUUCAUCUAAAGGAAAAUGAAGUGCAGAUGAAAACACGGGCAACCCCUCUGACAUCAGAAACCUUUCUGGAAGGUCUGGUGGGCUUGCCAGGUCAAGCAAGGAAGAAAAGGAAGACUACUGGUGUGAAACUGAUGGUAACAGAUGCAAUAUGACAUUACAGUGCCAUGAAGGGAUUCUUCAUUCCAUAAUGUACAUCUCAAUGGUUAACACAAGAGCAAAGGGUGACGGAUCGGCUGCUAACUGCAGAAACAAAGACACUGCCUCUGGAGCCAGUGGAGGUGAUGGCAGAAGAGCACAGGUGAUGAGGAUUUUCCUUCAAUACUAAGGACACUGGAAUAUUCUAAAUAAAUAGUGAUGCAAGAUUCAGCUAAGAGCACAGGAACACACAACUACCUAUGAUGAUUUUUGGGUUUUAAACUAAUUAAUACAACACUGUAUGAACCAUAUCUAAACAGGAUAAUUAGUACCUGUCCAAUAUAUGCUCCCAGCUUCCGCCCACCUGCACUUGGGAACUUCCUGUGCCAGAUGUGUGUUUUGGUGCUUGGUAACUUUUUGAUGAAUAUUUUUUCUAUUAAUUUGUCUAAACUUUCUUUCAACCUCUGCCAACUUUACGCCAACACAACCACCUACAACAGAGAUUUCCACAGCAAACAACAUGUGCUAUGAAGUUCCUUACCCAGU